rnacentral:misc_RNA from 1 species
GAGAAGAACGCAGCGAAAUGCGAUAAGUAGUGUGAAUUGCAGAAUUCAGUGAAUCAUCGAAUCUUUGAACGCACAUUGCGCCUUCUAGUAUUCUGGGAGGCAUGCCUGUUUGAGCGUCAUUAAACCUCUCUCAAGUAUGAUUACUUGGAUGUGAAGGAAGAGUACCUUAAACUUAAGGAGUGUUCUCCUUUGAAAUUGAUUAGCAGAUGGUAAUGUUAUUAAAUCCCUGAUGUUGUAAGAAAUAACAGUGGUUUUGUAGACUAUUAUCUAGCUUUAAAUUAUAAUUUUUAUUAUGGUUGACCUCAAAUCAGGUAAGGAUACCCGCUGAACUUAAGCAUAUCAAUAAGCGGAGGA